GACGAACGCCGGCUGCGUGCUUAACACAUGCAAGUCGAACGCUGAAGCCUGGUGCUUGCACCGGGUGGAUGAGUGGCGAACGGGUGAGUAACACGUGAGUAACCUGCCCCUGACUUCGGGAUAAGCCCGGGAAACUGGGUCUAAUACCGGAUACGACUGCCGGACGCAUGUCUGGUGGUGGAAAGUUUUUUCGGUUGGGGAUGGGCUCGCGGCCUAUCAGUUUGUUGGUGAGGUAAUGGCUCACCAAGACGACGACGGGUAGCCGGCCUGAGAGGGCGACCGGCCACACUGGGACUGAGACACGGCCCAGACUCCUACGGGAGGCAGCAGUGGGGAAUAUUGCACAAUGGGGGAAACCCUGAUGCAGCGACGCAGCGUGCGGGAUGACGGCCUUCGGGUUGUAAACCGCUUUCAGCAGGGAAGAAGCGCAAGUGACGGUACCUGCAGAAGAAGUACCGGCUAACUACGUGCCAGCAGCCGCGGUAAUACGUAGGGUACGAGCGUUGUCCGGAAUUAUUGGGCGUAAAGAGCUCGUAGGUGGUUGGUCACGUCUGCUGUGGAAACGCAACGCUUAACGUUGCGCGUGCAGUGGGUACGGGCUGACUAGAGUGCAGUAGGGGAGUCUGGAAUUCCUGGUGUAGCGGUGAAAUGCGCAGAUAUCAGGAGGAACACCGGUGGCGAAGGCGGGACUCUGGGCUGUAACUGACACUGAGGAGCGAAAGCAUGGGGAGCGAACAGGAUUAGAUACCCUGGUAGUCCAUGCCGUAAACGUUGGGCACUAGGUGUGGGGGGCAUUCCACGUUCUCCGCGCCGUAGCUAACGCAUUAAGUGCCCCGCCUGGGGAGUACGGUCGCAAGGCUAAAACUCAAAGGAAUUGACGGGGGCCCGCACAAGCGGCGGAGCAUGCGGAUUAAUUCGAUGCAACGCGAAGAACCUUACCAAGGCUUGACAUACACCGGACCGUCCUGGAAACAGGUCCUCUUCUUUGAAGCUGGUGUACAGGUGGUGCAUGGUUGUCGUCAGCUCGUGUCGUGAGAUGUUGGGUUAAGUCCCGCAACGAGCGCAACCCUCGUUCUAUGUUGCCAGCAUGUGAUGGUGGGAACUCAUAGGAGACUGCCGGGGUCAACUCGGAGGAAGGUGGGGAUGACGUCAAAUCAUCAUGCCCUUUAUGUCUUGGGCUUCACGCAUGCUACAAUGGCUGGUACAGAGAGAGGCGAACCCGUGAGGGCAAGCGAAUCCCUUAAAGCCAGACUCAGUUCGGAUCGUAGUCAGCAAUUCGACUACGUGAAGUCGGAGUCGCUAGUAAUCGCAGAUCAGCAACGCUGCGGUGAAUACGUUCCCGGGCCU
rnacentral:rRNA from 1 species